rnacentral:rRNA from 1 species
UGCCUACGGGGGGCAGCAGUAGGGAAUCUUCCACAAUGGACGAAAGUCUGAUGGAGCAACGCCGCGUGAGUGAAGAAGGGUUUCGGCUCGUAAAGCUCUGUUGGUAGUGAAGAAAGAUAGAGGUAGUAACUGGCCUUUAUUCGACGGUAAUUACUUAGAAAGUCACGGCUAACUACGUGCCAGCAGCUGCGGUAAUACGUAGGUGGCAAGCGUUGUCCGGAUUUAUUGGGCGUAAAGCGAGUGCAGGCGG